rnacentral:rRNA from 1 species
AUUGAACGCUGGCGGCAGGCCUAACACAUGCAAGUCGAGCGGAUGGAGGGAGCUUGCUCCUGGAUUCAGCGGCGGACGGGUGAGUAAUGCCUAGGAAUCUGCCUGGUAGUGGGGGAUAACGUCCGGAAACGGGCGCUAAUACCGCAUACGUCCUGAGGGAGAAAGUGGGGGAUCUUCGGACCUCACGCUCUCUGAUGAGCCUAGGUCGGAUUAGCUAGUUGGUGGGGUAAAGGCCUACCAAGGCGACGAUCCGUAACUGGUCUGAGAGGAUGAUCAGUCACACUGGAACUGAGACACGGUCCAGACUCCUACGGGAGGCAGCAGUGGGGAAUAUUGGACAAUGGGCGAAAGCCUGAUCCAGCCAUGCCGCGUGUGUGAAGAAGGUCUUCGGAUUGUAAAGCACUUUAAGUUGGGAGGAAGGGCAGUAAGUUAAUACCUUGCUGUUUUGACGUUACCAACAGAAUAAGCACCGGCUAACUUCGUG